UUUCCGUAGGUGAACCUGCGGAAGGAUCAUUCAUAAUAAAGUGUUUUAUGGCACUUUUUAAAAAUCCAUAUCCACCUUGUGUGCAAUGUUAGAUCUCGUCAAUCUUGGCGAGAUUUUUAUACAUCAACUCAUUCCUUAACUAAUUUGUCUGAAAAAUAUUAUGAAUACUUAAUUCAAAAUACAACUUUCAACAACGGAUCUCUUGGCUCUC
rnacentral:misc_RNA from 1 species